rnacentral:rRNA from 1 species
GUGUCAGCAGCCGCGGUAAGACGAAGGUGGCGAGCGUUGUUCGGAAUCACUGGGCUUAAAGCGCACGUAGGCGGGCUGUCUUGCGCCUUGUGAAAUCCCCCGGCUCAACCGGGGAAUUGCUGGGCGAACGGGCGGCCUUGAGGCAGGUAGAGGUGUGGAGAACUCUUGGUGGAGCGGUGGAAUGCGUAGAUAUCAAGAGGAAUGCCGGAGGCGAAGGCGCCGCACUGGGCCUGUCCUGACGCUGAGGUGCGAAAGCCAGGGGAGCAAACGGGAUUAGAUACCCCAGUAGUCC